GGAUAUAUCACCAUACCUAGCUUCCAUCUUUUUGCCACGUAUUGCCGGCCCCCAUACGUACUCAACCCUAUAAAUCAAACCCUUACAUUUCAGAGUUGAAUCGUUUAAGAAAAAAUGCCAGACCAUCCACCACCACCACACGGCGGCCACGGUCACGCACCACCCCCAGGUCCGGGACACCACGAGCCUCCUCCGCCCCAUGGCCAUGCUCCUCCUCCGGGGCCUCAUGCACCUCCUCCGGGACCCCAUGCACCUCCUCCGGGACCCCAUGCACCUCCUCCGGAACCCCAUGCACCUCCUCCGGGACCCCAUGCACCUCCUCAUGAUCCACACAAGCCACAUGACUGUCACCACGGUCACCACCACCCAUGAACCGAACUAGUCAUGAGGCCACGAUCGAGAAGCUAGUCUCAGCAAGUUGUUAUCUAUUUAUCUUUGUGCCUGUAAUGUGAUCUAGCUGCGGUUGUAGUUCUGAGUUGCUGGGUUUACUGGCUUUGCUCCAUUGAUCUCAUCGUUAUGUAAUGACUAAAAUAUGAGGACUAUGUAUGUAUCCAAAAGAAGGCUGAUCAUAUAUGUAUAAUAAGAAGAGUACUGGCUUUGUGGUUUAUGUAUAAUCCGCUUGUGUAAAACUUCUUCUUUUAUCCGUCUAAAUGUGAUGUAUAAUCAGAAAAUAUGGCCAGUUUGUCAUCUUGACCAACCUGAACUUACAAACUAAUUAAUUAAGUCAAUCUCCCCAAUUUCAUCAAUCUUCAUUAGGAUUUCAUCACUAGCUCAUUCCUUCACAGAUAAUUAACCAUUUGCUCGAUUGCUCUUAACAAACUGUAAUAGCCAAGAGGCAAACGCAUCCAUCUAAAUUCUAAAAAGUUAUUAACACAGGCUAGGGGUAAAUUAUCCUUUGUUCAGACCAAUCUCACAGUUGAAGCGAUGAAUUGGCUAAAACAAAAGCCUACGGGCAGAAAAACAAAGCAUCUCUAUUCGUACGGAAGAAUGACUUCCAUAUAUAGUAAGCCUUAUAGUUAUAACACCGUAAGUGUAUAAGAAUAGGAAUUCAUAAACGCAAUAAGAAGAAGACCGUGAAAGAGAUCGAAGAUUAAAGCAGGCCUUAAUGUCUUGUAUAUUCUGUACAAAAUUUCAACAGCCAGAUUUUCUCGAUGCAUUCGUCAGCUUCUGUUUGUAACCUUUCUUCUGUCAAAUCCUCCAUGGCUUUUCACGAGCAAUAAUUCUUGCAAGGUCCCAUUAACAAGCCUCACGUACGUUGUUCUUAUCUCCUUUUCCUUAGCUCACCAAGAAUUCAACUAUUACCAAGUGCAGCAACUAGUUUCUGUGAUCGAUCUACGGAAAGUUAAAGUUAUUGCUCAAAAGAGAAAGAGAAAACGGAAGUUAAAGUUCCAUGCUGCCCUAGUUCAAGUACGCACUCAGUUAUGAUCUUGUGGUUCUUACAAUGGAUGAAUGGAUGAAGCAUUACCACACAAAUACUCAGAAGAGAAAAACAAAACAACCACAGUGCACGAUUAACAUGCUAGCUAGCUUUCAUUGUGUGCAAAUAUCCUGAGCUACCAUUCC
rnacentral:lncRNA from 1 species